UCUCUCUCCGUCUAUUUAUAUGCUGGAUUAUGUAAAGGAAUAGGAUGGAAUACUUCCUUCCUUCCUGGCAACCAGGAAGGAAGGCCUAAACUCAAAACCAUUACAAGUGUCCAGGACAUAAUUAAGAAUAAUUCCCUAGCUGCCAGAGAAUUGUUGGGAGACCAUGCUGGAGACAGGAAUAAAAGGAGAAUAAGAGGAGAAAGGGAAGAAGGAGAGACCUAGAGGAAUCAAGAAGAUAGCCAAUUGAAUGGCAGACAUGCUGAAUAUGGGCAUAUGCACUUCCACCUGAGAUAUCAGAAGACCCAUUAAUAUUUCUUUAAAGAAGAUUCAGUAGGUUGAUUUAACCCAAAUCCAGCAGGACCUGUGGUAUGUAUCGAGAUCACAGCGUUCAUUUCUGGGACUGUAGGUGCAAGUUAAGAGCCUAUCAGCAUUGCAGUUGUGAAUAUAUUUCUGAGGAUUUAUAAUUUAGAUUUACAUACGCAUCAAUAUGAAACUUCGCAUAGGUGUGACAUUUGGUUUUAAAGAGGAAAAAGGAUUUUAGGUAAUCAGUUAUUUUUUAAGUUUUGGAAAUUUUUGCUGACAUUCAUACUUCGUGCUAUAGUAAUAGAAAAGGCAGUCACUAAAACUGCAAUAUUACAAGCUCUUUCUGUGGAAGAUAUGGUGUGCUAGCAAUUAAGAAAAUCUAAAGAAAAAAGACCUUAAAUAAGAUGCAAAGACAGACACCACUUUUUUGUAUUUUCAUUUUAUUUGCAUGUUAUGUCACGUUAGAUAUUUAUGACAACACUUGCUGUACCAUAUCCAAGCUAUAUAUUCCCAUGACAGAUUUUUCCUUUCGCUUAAGGUGGAAGUAUGUGGGUCUCCAUUAUGCUCUGCUGUACCAAAUGAUGCAAUGAAGCCUUUAACGUUGUAAUUCAGAGCUUCCCUUCCCUUUUCUGCUCUGAACCAAAACUCCCAAGAGAAAAUCAGGCAUCUAGAUGAGUCCUCUUGUAGCAGGUGGUACUAUUCGAAAUUGUAAAUAAGCCAUGUAAAGGAUUUAAUUUAGUUGUAUUCCUACAACUAAGCUGUCAUUGUUGCAAUGUACUCACACAUAGGAUCUGAAAUGUGAACUGUGUACCCAGGCACAGUGAAGAAGAGCAACACAGGAAAACACAUGGAGUUCCUGAUUCCUGACUGGGCAGUGCUGGUAUAGUUCACAGCAGAAAGGAUCCCUAAACUUACUUCUAUGGUGUCUACUGAGUGUCAGAGAAGCUUUUUUCCCUUUACAUUUGAUCCAGGCAUCAGCUGGUUCUGCCCCACUGAGGGCAGCUUCUUUUCCCCUACCACAAUCUCCUUUAGUGAUUUAAGGUCACACAGAGAUACCAUAUGCUGACCAAAAAUUUUAAACUUAACUCCUUGUCUGCACUGCCCAUCAGAGUUCAAGUUAUAAAAGCCAGUAUGCAUGUUCUAGUUAGCUGACACUAUUAGCUCAGAUCAGGCCUGGUUGUUGUCUUAGAGGAAAAGACACAGACUUUUUCAACAUUAAUGCUGACUGCCUCCCUGAUCCAGACCUCUCUCUAUCACCCCUUUCCUCCUCCUGGCACCUGAGGGUAGCAGGCAUCUCACCUGCUCAGGGCAGCCAGGGUGUUGUUCCAGCUUCAGCCCCAGUGAAGUAAAAUACUUGUCUACACUUGGAAAUUAGAUGGGAGUAACUGAAUGAUGUGAAGUGAGUGUGCAAUAAAUCUUCAGGAUAAAUCCACAUGUGUGUAACCCUAAUCUCUUUCAGUUGGCUGCAAAAUCCAAAGAGACAUCCCUUGGCAGCUGAAGUAGGGAACUCUUUUGCCAUGUCCCCUCUCUGCCACCUCUCUGGAGCAGAAACACAGAGGUCUGCGCUGAUCAACUUUUGCCAAACUGACAUUUUUCUACUUGUUCAUCCAAUUUGUUUUUUUUUCUCCUAGACAAUUUCUUAUCUAUAAGCAUAUUUUGCCUUAUACUGCGUGAUCUCAGUUUCCUCUAGAGGCUCUUGGGAGGGACUUGGUCAAAGGCAGUUCAAAAAUUAAAAUAGUUACGUCACCCUGCUCUCUUCUCUUUUUUUUAACAUACCCAAAGUAUUCUACUGGAUUUGGACAGGGUGCUGCGAUAAUGGAAUGGAAUUUGCAGUACCACUGUUCCCCUAUAGAGCAGUACGUUUAAUAGUGCUUAUUUAAUGCCAGGUUUUGCAUUUAGUUAAUUAAUGUUAGAAGAAUCUUUUAUAUCUUUCUCAGUUUUGUGUCCUGGUGGCAAUCUUGGUUUGACAUUUUCCUCAAAUGGGUCAAAAAUUACUUGAGCUGUUAGAAUGAAAAAAGGAUUUUUUUAAAAGUAAACAUCAAGAGCAUUUCUAUUUUUUUCCUAGCAGAAUUUAAUGACACCUUUACAGACAAUUACACAGAGUUUUUCAUUCCAUUUUAUUUUGUCUUAUGUCUUUCUUUUUUUCUCUUUCUGUCCUCUUUUUUUUUUUCUGUUAAAGCACUGGGGCCCAUAAAUGAGGAAAAGAUAAUGGUUUACAAUCAAUGCUCAUGGACCAGACAGCUAAUCUGAACUUGACUAAAAAGUCAAUAUUUAGCUGUACCUUAUCAGUGGAGAAAUGUCAAGCACAGAGAUAGACAUGAACAAAUUUCCAACUGAUUUCUCUUUCUUAUGCCUCAGCGUUCAAAGCUUCAUGGAAGAGUUUCAACAUCAGAUAAGACAAAACUGCCUUUGAAAAAAACCUCAUGACAAAUGACAAACUUGCAUCUGCAGAGACAGGAAUUUAUGAAAUGAAAGCACACGUCAAAAAUUCAUUCUAAUCUCUCCUUGCACAUUCCAUUGGUCACCUUCUAGUCUGCGUGAUGCAGCAGUUGAUAGUUGAACACUACAGGCAGUCUUUAAGAGAUAGCAGCAGGAAAUGUUUUCUCGCUGAGUGAAGUCAUAAUUUGUUGCCACCCAAAACAAAAUUGACAUAAAUCAUUUUGAAUUGUAAUAUUGCUAAGAAAUUCAAUAUAUACGUGAUGUACUGACUGGGUAUUGUGCUGUUGUGCAAGAAUAAAUCUCACUGCAAACAAUUUGGUAAUUAAAAUUUAUUUGGUAACUUAUUUAUCAGCUCACAGUGGACAUCACUUCUACUGCAAUUCAUUUAGCUGCCUUGAUUUUUGUGAAGGAACAGCUAAUGGAGUUAUACCAUGGAGUAAAGAAUUUAACCCUUGGCUAGCAACUGGAACAGCUUCAUUUAUUCCUAUUGCUAUUCACUUAAUGGGUGAUCUCUUAAUUUUAAGACAUGAUGAUCCAGAGCUCUCAAGCAUGGUCAUAGGGCUUCCCAGACUAGAGGUCAAAACAAUGUUUUUAGGAAUGGUCAUAACCCAUGGAAUCCACUAGGUUUGUGUUUGGGUAAUUUCAGCAUCCGUCUAUACUGCUCUUUGUGUAUGGUAGGGAGGGGAUGGAUGAAAGGUGGUCUGUGGUGUGAAAAGCUAAAGUUCUGCUGCUUUGCUUUAUGCUCUUUUUCAGUAAAAUCUCCUUAGGGAAAAAAAAUUGCGUUGGACUAAAAAAUGUUAUUAAAAAUAUUGGUAAGAAUAAACCCAAUAGGCAGUAAAAAUAACUGCAUGAGUAGCACGUACUAAAGUUUAAACAUAAAAGGGUUGCCGGGGACUCCUCAAGAUUGAAACAGUAAUGGGAAAACUCCAGAAAUUAAUAGCUAUAUUGGGAUCCUCAGAACUGGUCUUCAUUCAUAUACCAAACAUGCAAAUUUUAAGUUUGCACCACUGUUAUGAAUAUUUUUUAAAAAGUAAUGACAUCACCAGAUUUCCCAUGGUCCUCAGGUAUUUAUAACUUUUUAAAUUUUUGAAGAACGCCUGCCAUAAUUAGAACCUUAACUUUUAAAUUGUAAAUGCUUUUAUUCAAUGAACAAAUAACGUUCAAGAUAAGAACACGGGGAAAAAAAGACAAUAAAACAUCUUGGUAAAGUUUUCAGUGAUGCUUGUGGAAAUACUACACUUAUGAGUCCACUUUUUCUCUGAAAGCAUUUGAGACUAGCAGUUUAUGUGCCCUUUAUCAAACAAACAUCUUGGAAAUGUAGACAGUACAUAUAUUGUUACUUCUCUACAACACCUUCAAAGGUAUUUAUACUUUGGUAGCUACACACAGCAGAGCCAAAAAAUGAAUUAAUUUUUUUUGACAAAUAGGGAUUAUUUUAUAAUUAAUGUAAACAUUGACAUUUUCCUCAGAAUGCAAUGUAGGAUAAAUACGUGAUAAUUUAAUAAA